GUUUUUCGAAAAAAAACUAGAGCUGGUGUUUGCCAUAUUGAUCCUUACUUGUGCCGUUUGUUUGUUUGUUUUGUGUGUGAAACAUUUGCCCCAUUGUUUGUUGUUUUUAUUGUCGUCCUGUCUCUGCACUAGUGAGUAAGUUGGCGUGUGUGUGUGCGACUUUGGUGUAUUAUAAAAUAGCAGCAAUAUUAUAUGGCUGGAUUUACACCCUAUACGCGCUGGCCUGAAACACAACUCCAAUUUCACCCACAUCGCCCCUUCGUCGCUGGCCACCGUUGUUGUCAGGCUACGUGAGUUGGAAGCGUAAUCGUUAAAAGGGAGCCAUAGAAAUAAAGUUGUCAGUUGAAUUUUAUACGCCGACGGGUGCGGUCCUUUUUUUAAUGUUCUCUUAUAAGCGUGUCGUGUUUGAACAGCGUGCGGUUCAUUAGUGUUUUAUUGGAACUGAAAAAAUUGUUCUUCAGUGCAAUUUGAAAAAAAAAAAAUUAACAAGAAAAGAAGUGAACGGAAUCCAAUCAGAAUUUAUUUACAAAUUUUAAAUGAUAUUUAGCAGCCAAUACUUUAUAAAGAAAACCAACAAAUCCAACAUCAUUCAAUGAACAACUAAACCAAAACAGCAGCAGUACUUAACCAAAAGCAAAAACAAAACCAAAAAAAACCGAAAAAAAUAUUCAUGCAAAUUUUGAAAAACAAUUUCAAUUAAAAUCUCCAAUCAGCAAAUCUCCCAGAGAAAACCAAAACCAAAAAAUAAUUUCCAUUGAACAAAACAGAAAAAAAUUUUAAAAAAGAUUAAUUAGAAACUAAGAAGUCCAGUUUUUUGAGAUUAAUAAACAAAAUCACGCCAUUUACAAAAAAAACC
rnacentral:sRNA from 1 species